rnacentral:rRNA from 1 species
GGUUAAGUUAGAAAGGGCGCACGGUGGAUGCCUUGGCACUAGGAGCCGAAGAAGGACGGGACUAACACCGAUAUGCUUUGGGGAGCUGUACGUAAGCGUUGAUCCAGAGAUUUCCGAAUGGGGGAACCCACUAUCUUUAGUCGGAUAGUAUCCUUACGUGAAUACAUAGCGUGAGGAAGGCAGACCCAGGGAACUGAAACAUCUAAGUACCUGGAGGAAGAGAAAGAAAAAUCGAUUUCCUGAGUAGCGGCGAGCGAAACGGAAAGAGCCCAAACCAAGAAGCUUGCUUCUUGGGGUUGUAGGACACUCUAUACGGAGUUACAAAAGAAAGUUAUAAAUGAAGCGGUCUGGAAAGGCCCGCCAAAGACGGUAACAGCCCGGUAGUUGAAAUGGCUUUCCCUCCAGAGUGGAUCCUGAGUACGGCGGAACACGUGAAAUUCCGUCGGAAUCCGGGAGGACCAUCUCCCAAGGCUAAAUACUCCCUAGUGACCGAUAGUGAACCAGUACCGUGAGGGAAAGGUGAAAAGCACCCCGGAAGGGGAGUGAAACAGUUCCUGAAACCGUGUGCCUACAAGUAGUUAGAGCCCGUUAAUGGGUGAUAGCGUGCCUUUUGUAGAAUGAACCGGCGAGUUACGAUUUGUUGCAAGGUUAAGCGGAAAAAGCGGAGCCGUAGCGAAAGCGAGUCUGAAUAGGGCGCAUAAGUAACAGGUCGUAGACCCGAAACCAGGUGAUCUACCCAUGUCCAGGAUGAAGGUAAGGUAAUACUUACUGGAGGUCCGAACCCACGCACGUUGAAAAGUGCGGGGAUGAGGUGUGGGUAGCGGAGAAAUUCCAAUCGAACUUGGAGAUAGCUGGUUCUCUCCGAAAUAGCUUUAGGGCUAGCCUCGAGGUAAAGAGUCAUGGAGGUAGAGCACUGUUUGGACUAGGGGCCCUUCUCGGGUUACCGAAUUCAGAUAAACUCCGAAUGCCAUGUACUUAUACUCGGGAGUCAGACUGCGAGUGAUAAGAUCCGUAGUCGAAAGGGAAACAGCCCAGACCACCAGUUAAGGUCCCCAAAUAUAUGUUAAGUGGAAAAGGAUGUGGGGUUGCUUAGACAACCAGGAUGUUGGCUUAGAAGCAGCCACCAUUGAAAGAGUGCGUAAUAGCUCACUGGUCGAGUGACCCCGCGCCGAAAAUGUACCGGGGCUAAACAUAUUACCGAAACUGUGGAUGAACCUCUUUAGAGGUUCGUGGUAGGAGAGCGUUCUAAGGGCGGUGAAGUCAGACCGGAAGGACUGGUGGAGCGCUUAGAAGUGAGAAUGCCGGUAUGAGUAGCGAAAGAAGGGUGAGAAUCCCUUCCACCGAAUAUCUAAGGUUUCCUGAGGAAGGCUCGUCCGCUCAGGGUUAGUCGGGACCUAAGCCGAGGCCGAUAGGCGUAGGCGAUGGACAACAGGUAGAGAUUCCUGUACCAGUGCUAAUUGUUUAACCGAUGGGGUGACACAGAAGGAUAGGGAAUCGCACGAAUGGAAAUGUGCGUCCAAGCAGUGAGUGUGAGAAGUAGGCAAAUCCGCUUCUCGCGAAGCAUGAGCUGUGAUGGGGAAGGAAAUUAAGUACGGAAGUUCCUGAUUUCACGCUGUCAAGAAAAGCCUCUAGGAAGAGUAGUACUGCCCGUACCGCAAACCGACACAGGUAGAUGAGGAGAGAAUCCUAAGGUGAGCGAGAGAACUCUCGUUAAGGAACUCGGCAAAAUGACCCCGUAACUUCGGGAGAAGGGGUGCUCUAUUAGGGUGCAAGCCCGAGAGAGCCGCAGUGAAUAGGCCCAGGCGACUGUUUAGCAAAAACACAGGUCUCUGCAAAACCGUAAGGUGACGUAUAGGGGCUGACGCCUGCCCGGUGCUGGAAGGUUAAGAGGAGUGCUUAGCUUCGGCGAAGGUACGAAUUGAAGCCCCAGUAAACGGCGGCCGUAACUAUAACGGUCCUAAGGUAGCGAAAUUCCUUGUCGGGUAAGUUCCGACCCGCACGAAAGGCGCAACGAUCUGGGCACUGUCUCAACGAGAGACUCGGUGAAAUUAUAGUACCUGUGAAGAUGCAGGUUACCCGCGACAGGACGGAAAGACCCCGUGGAGCUUUACUGCAACCUGAUAUGGAAUGUUUGUACCGCU